rnacentral:rRNA from 1 species
CAAAGGCUUGGUCCUGACUUUACUAUCAACUUUAGCCAAACUUACACAUGCAAGUAUCCGCACCCCUGUGAGAAUGCCCUACAGUCCCCCGCCCGGGAACAAGGAGCUGGUAUCAGGCACACCCCAUUAAGCCCAUGACACCUUGCUUAGCCACACCCUCAAGGGAACUCAGCAGUGAUAAACAUUAAGCCAUAAGUGAAAACUUGACUUAGUUAAAGCUAAGAGGGCCGGUAAAACUCGUGCCAGCCACCGCGGUUAUACGAGAGGCCCAAGUUGAUAGACACCGGCGUAAAGAGUGGUUAAGUUAAAACCUCAUACUAAAGCCAAACAUCUUCAAGACUGUUAUACGCAACCGAAGACAGGAAGUUCAACCACGAAAGUGGCUUUAUUUGAUCUGAACCCACGAAAGCUACGGAACAAACUAGGAUUAGAUACCC